CCUACGGGUGGCUGCAGUAGGGAAUAUUGCGCAAUGGACGAAAGUCUGACGCAGCGACGCCGCGUGGGUGAUGAAGGAUUUCGGUUCGUAAAGCCCUGUCGGAGGGGACGAAAAACGUUGUGGCUAACAUCCACGACGACUGACGGUACCCUCAAAGGAAGCACCGGCUAACUACGUGCCAGCAGCCGCGGUAAUACGUAGGGUGCAAGCGUUGUUCGGAAUUAUUGGGCGUAAAGCGCGUGUAGGCGGCUUGUUAAGUCAGAUGUGAAAUCCCU
rnacentral:rRNA from 1 species